AGUGAACGCUGGCGGUAGGCCUAACACAUGCAAGUCGAACGGCAGCACAGUAAGAGCUUGCUCUUACGGGUGGCGAGUGGCGGACGGGUGAGGAAUACAUCGGAAUCUACUUUUUCGUGGGGGAUAUCGUAGGGAAACUUACGCUAAUACCGCAUACGACCUACGGGUGAAAGCAGGGGAUCUUCGGACCUUGCGCGAUUGAAUGAGCCGAUGUCGGAUUAGCUAGUUGGCGGGGUGAAGGCCCACCAAGGCGACGAUCCGUAGCUGGUCUGAGAGGAUGAUCAGCCACACUGGAACUGAGACACGGUCCAGACUCCUACGGGAGGCAGCAGUGGGGAAUAUUGGACAAUGGGCGCAAGCCUGAUCCAGCCAUACCGCGUGGGUGAAGAAGGCCUUCGGGUUGUAAAGCCCUUUUGUUGGGAAAGAAAAGCAGCAGGUUAAUACCCCGCUGUUCUGACGGUACCCAAAGAAUAAGCACCGGCUAACUUCGUG
rnacentral:rRNA from 1 species